AUCCAUCAACUAAAUCGAAUCAAACUUCCUUCGUCACUGUCUCGAAGAGCCUAAAAAGCUACUUACUUUCAUGGUCCGUUCUCAGAUUUGACAAAAAAAAAUCUCUAAAUUUUCAACUUUGUGCUCUGAUUGUUUUUAAAGCUUCGUUUUUUCAGGUAGAAAAUGGCGUCCAUUUCUGCAGCUUUGCCGGCUCCACCAUUACUGCUCACUCAGAGAAAACCCAGUCUCACAUCAAUUUCAGAAAGUUCCAAAUUUCUCUACAUCGAGGUAAAGGUAAAGUAGAGAUAUGAAGCAGAUUGUUUAGCAGAUGUUUUUGGGGAACGAGACUUCUUCUGUCAAUAGAAACUUUUACCUGGUGAAUCUUGGUUUUGAGGUGACAAUAUUUUAACAUAGAGAGAAAGAAAGCAGAGUAGAGGAGGAGAAGGAGAUGAUGAGUUGUGUCUAUUCUUGCUUUCGGGUUGAAGACAUUGAUGAGUUACAAGAAUCCAAGUAGCUCUGUAUAGGAACUGUCCCUGCAUAAUACGCCCUGCUCAUAAUUUUUCUUAACCUGAAGAGGAGAAACCGCUCUCUCACAUUUUCGGUUCAAGCUACUGCAUGGAUAAUUUUCUUUUUGAAGCAUUUUGCUCUACUCCUAGGCUUCUGCUUCAUGAUGUUCCAACCAUUUCCACCUCAGUUGCAUUUUAUGAGUGGAUGGAGAGAAAUGAAAAAAACUGUCUUGUCUGCGGAAAGGUGAUGAAAUUCAACGAAUCACAUUCUGCUCUCUCCUCCAACCAGUUCCAAUUUCUCAGGCUCCUCACUAUACCGUCACUAUUAUUUCUCAGGCCCCUGCUGAAAUUGUUUUGUUUAUGCAGUUGGAGUCACUUUCCGUUGAAUUGAUUAUCAAGAGAUUGUAUAAAUGAUAUUAGUAUAUAGAUUUUUAAAAGACGUUCAUAAACUGAAUUAACAGUGUAAUUUCAUAAUGCUCAAUCCUAAGAUAAUGCAUAAGCGAUUAA